rnacentral:rRNA from 1 species
GAUGAACGCUGGCGGCGUGCCUAAUACAUGCAAGUCGAGCGAACAGACGAGGAGCUUGCUCCUCUGACGUUAGCGGCGGACGGGUGAGUCACACGUGGACAACCUACCUAUAAGACUUGGAUAACUUCGGGAAACCGGAGCUCAUCACGGAUAAUAUAUUGCACCUCAUACUUCAAUAGUAAAAGCCAGCUUUGCUGUCACUUAUCGAUGGAUCCGCGCCGCAUUAGAUAGUUGGUAAGUUAACGGCUUAACAAGGCGACGAUGGGUAGCCGACCUGAUCGGGUGAUCGGCCACACUGGAACUGAGACUCAUUCCAGACUCUGACGGGGGGCCGCAGUCGGGAAUCUUCCGCGAUGCGGGAGAGCGUGAUGGAGCAACGUGGCGUGAGUGAUGAAGGUCUUCGGAUCGGAGAGCUCUGUUAUUAGGGAAGAACAAAUGUGUAAGUAACUAUGCACGUAUUGACGGUACCUAAGCAGAAAGCCACGGCUAACUACGUG